ACCAAGCGACCAUAUUAUAUGAGCACAGAGAGCACUGAUGAUCAUUCAACAACAACAAUCCAAAUUAUUCAACACUAUAAUUAAUGGGGCAAUCUUGUAUCAUUACAUAAUGUCUUAUCUCAAAAGUAAUUCAAAGGCAAACAAAACGCAUUCAACUCUCCUACAUACUUAGAAACGAUGUGCUGAAAUCGUUGAAGAUGCCCCAUUAUCGGAAAGAGGCACAGAGCAUGAAAACCUUAGCAAUAAAGUUACUCCUGCAUCAAGUAACACUCAAUAAGCACCCAAGUUUGUAUUCCUUUAGGCACUUGAGACCUAUAGCGUUACAGACAAUCCUACAACGGGCAAAACUUCAUGCUUCAAAUAUUUCCUCCUAAAAAAACUUUAAGCUGUAUCAAUUCAUCAAGCUUGUAACUUAAACAAUUGUAUUUAGACAAAUUUUCAAAAAAAAAAAAAAAAUCAGUCAUAUAGCCUUUUGAAAAUAAUUACAGAAGCUUUAGAUUUCAGAUUUUGAGGUGAUGAACAACACCCUUGUUGGGGGGGGGGGGGUCACAAUUGAUGACACUGGUUUCCCUGGCCUAUGGAAUCCAAUCCAACUUGUUUAAAUGAUAAAAGAAAGGUUAUAUCCAAAUUGAUUAAUAAUUCCUAUGAGAUCAGAAUCAGAUCCAUUUCUGACAAUAAUUAAAAGGUGUGGAGGAAUUAUCAAAAAAUACUAGUAGUAAUUAAUAGCCGAAACGCAAGUAGUCGUAUAAGCAAUCCCAUAGAACCACCCCCCCCCCCCAAAAAAAAAAAAAACAAACAAACAAAGAGUGUAAACACGAACCAGGAGAAAAGCGAAUGGAGUAAAAAGAGAAGCAAAAGAGAAUUUUAUUUGGGGGAUUUGUCCUUGUUGGGAGGAGAGUAAAUGAGAGCAGCAACCAUGGAGACCGGUAGCAACACGUACUUGGCUAAAGCUGCCAGCUUCGUCACCAAAGGCUCUCCCCUCGUCAACGCCAUUUUUGUUCUUCUUUUCCACCAAUUCUACUACCCUACCUCUACUAUGUAUCCCGAAUUCCCAAUUACCAGCCCAGCCUCCUCCGUCUAAAAGUAAAAUAAAUUCCGAAUUUCACACUCCGUUUGCUGCGGCUUUGUAAAGUAAAAUAGAG
rnacentral:lncRNA from 1 species